rnacentral:rRNA from 1 species
AUUGAACGCUGGCGGCAUGCCUUACACAUGCAAGUCGAACGGCAGCACGGGUGCUUGCACCUGGUGGCGAGUGGCGAACGGGUGAGUAAUACAUCGGAACGUACCUUAUCGUGGGGGAUAACGCAGCGAAAGCUGUGCUAAUACCGCAUACGCCCUGCGGGGGAAAGCGGGGGAUCGCAAGACCUCGCGCGAUUAGAGCGGCCGAUGCCUGAUUAGCUUGUUGGUGGGGUAAAAGCCCACCAAGGCGACGAUCAGUAGCUGGUCUGAGAGGACGAUCAGCCACACUGGGACUGAGACACGGCCCAGACUCCUACGGGAGGCAGCAGUGGGGAAUGUUGGACAAUGGGGGCAACCCUGAUCCAGCAAUGCCGCGUGAGUGAAGAAGGCCUUCGGGUUGUAAAGCUCUUUUGUCAGGGAAGAAACACCGGCUCUAACACAGUCCGGGAAUGACGGUACCUGAAGAAUAAGCACCGGCUAACUACGUGCCAGCCGCCGCAGUAA